AGAAAGGUGAUUCUGGGAGAGCAGGGGAACAGAUGGGCAAUGGGGACAGAGGGAAGGACGCUGAGUUGGGUGGAAAGUUUGUGUGGAGAACUCCCACGGCUCUGGCCUCCCCUCCCCCUCCUCCUCUCGGCUGCCCAGCAAGGAGGAGAAGGCUGGUUAGCAGAGAAAUGGCAACUCAGCCGGGAGCUGGAACUAGAAACUUUCUGUCAAUGUAACAGCCGCGUGGGUGGCGGAGAACUGCAAGGAAAAAAAAAAUCAAGAUUUGGAGGAAUUACUCACAGAGAUGGAAGACUUCCAGGCUGCCCCCUCAGAGCGCACGGCCUGCGCCCCUCGUAGCUCUCAGCCACCCCAAGACCUCGCCCCUCCGCCGCCCCGGCCCCCCCGGCCCCUCUCCGAUCACAGAUCUUGAUCUGCCGCUCGCUGAGGUUCAGGAGGUUGGCCAUCUCCACGCGGCGCGGCCGGCACAGGUAGCGGUUGAAGUGGAACUCCUUCUCCAGCUCCACCAGCUGCGCGCUCGUGUACGCC